GACAGAGGUGCCGAGCGUUAGGCGGAAUCACUGGGCUUAAAGCGUGUGUAGGCGGAUUGGUAAGUACCUUGUGAAAUCCCACGGCUUAACCGUGGAACUGCUUGGUAUACUGCUUAUCUUGGGCCACUUAGGGGCUACCGGAACAAAUGGUGGAGCGGUGAAAUGCGUAGAUAUCAUUUGGAACGCCAAUGGUGAAAACAGGUAGCUGGGAGUGUGCUGACGCUGAGACACGAAAGCCAGGGGAGCAAACGGG
rnacentral:rRNA from 1 species